UCUCUGUUAGUAUAUCGGUUAGUACACGCGCCUGUCACGCCAUACAUCAGUACAUCGUGCGCGCGAAAGCUGGGUUCGACUCCCAGACAGAGAG